rnacentral:rRNA from 1 species
UACGUAGGUGACCAGCGUUGUCCGGAUUUACUGGGCGUAAAGAGCGCGCAGGCGGUCGUUCAAGUCGAUUGUGAAAGCCCCCGGCUCAACUGGGGAGGGUCAUUCGAUACUGAUCGACUGGAAGGCAGGAGAGGGAAGCGGAAUUCCCGGUGUAGUGGUGAAAUGCGUAGAUAUCGGGAGGAACACCAGUGGCGAAGGCGGCUUCCUGGCCUGUUCUUGACGCUGAGGCGCGAAAGCUAGGGGAGCAAACGGG